GUGGAAAUAAUUUACUAAAAAUAUUUGCUUUGCAAGCAAAACAUCUGGGCCUAAUAUUCCCAGCUUCUACA
rnacentral:tRNA from 1 species